rnacentral:rRNA from 2 species
UGGGGGAUAUUGCACAAUGGGCGAAAGCCUGAUGCAGCGACGCCGCGUGGGGGAUGAAGGCUUUCGGGUUGUAAACCUCUUUCGCUAUCGAACAAGGCCCGCUUAGGGUGGGUUGAGGGUAGGUGGAGAAGAAGCGCCGGCUAACUACGUGUCAGCAGCCGCGGUAAUACGUAGGGCGCGAGCGUUGUCCGGAAUUAUUGGGCGUAAAGGGCUUGUAGGCGGCUUGUUGCGCCUGCUGUGAAAACGCGGGGCUUAACUUCGCGCGUGCAGUGGGUACGGGCAGGCUUGAGUGUGGUAGGGGUGACUGGAAUUCCAGGUGUAGCGGUGGAAUGCGCAGAUAUCUGGAGGAACACCGAUGGCGAAGGCAGGUCACUGGGCCAUUACUGACGCUGAGGAGCGAAAGCAUGGGUAGCGAACAGG